rnacentral:tRNA from 1 species
GGCAAGAUGGCCGAGUUGGUUAUGGCGCCAGGUUAAGGACUGUAUCCUUAUCAUGAUAUCCUGGUAGGGAAACCUGCGUGGGUUCAAGUCCCACUCUUGUCA